AUUGAACGCUGGCGGCAGGCCUAACACAUGCAAGUCGAGCGGAUGAAGGGAGCUUGCUCCUGGAUUCAGCGGCGGACGGGUGAGUAAUGCCUAGGAAUCUGCCUGGUAGUGGGGGAUAACGUCCGGAAACGGGUGCUAAUACCGCAUACGUCCUGAGGGAGAAAGUGGGGGAUCUUCGGACCUCACGCUAUCAGAUGAGCCUAGGUCGGAUUAGCUAGUUGGUGGGGUAAAGGCCUACCAAGGCGACGAUCCGUAACUGGUCUGAGAGGAUGAUCAGUCACACUGGAACUGAGACACGGUCCAGACUCCUACGGGAGGCAGCAGUGGGGAAUAUUGGACAAUGGGCGAAAGCCUGAUCCAGCAAUGCCGCGUGUGUGAUGAAGGUCUUCGGAUUGUAAAGCACUUUUAGUUGGGAGGAAGAGCAGUAAGUUAAUACCUUGCUGUUUUGACGUUACCAACAGAAUAAGCACCGGCUAACUUCGUG
rnacentral:rRNA from 1 species